ensembl:snRNA U2 U2 spliceosomal RNA
AUCCCUUCUUGGCCUUUUGGCUAAGAUCAAGUGUAGUAUUUAUUUGUAUGUGUGUGCUUAUGCAUCUAAUCUCUAUACCUGCCUCUCAAUAGGUGAGUAAUUAGACCAUUU